UACGUAGGGACCAAGCGUUGUUCGGAUUUACUGGGCGUAAAGGGCGCGUAGGCGGCGUGUUAAGUCACUUGUGAAAUCUCUAAGCUUAACUUAGAACGGUCAAGUGAUACUGAUGUGCUAGAGUGCAGAAGGGGCAACCGGAAUUCUUGGUGUAGCGGUGAAAUGCGCAGAUAUCAGGAGGAACACCGAUGGCGAAGGCAGGUCUCUGGGCCACUACUGACGCUGAGAAGCGAAAGCAUGGGGAGCGAACAGG
rnacentral:rRNA from 1 species